rnacentral:rRNA from 1 species
UACGAAGGGGGCUAGCGUUGCUCGGAAUGACUGGGCGUAAAGGGCGCGUAGGCGGCUUGCACCGUCAGAUGUGAAAUUCCUGGGCUUAACCUGGGGGCUGCAUUUGAUACGUGUGGGCUUGAGUGCGGAAGAGGGUCGUGGAAUUCCCAGUGUAGAGGUGAAAUUCGUAGAUAUUGGGAAGAACACCAGUGGCGAAAGCGGCUCUCUGGCCCGGUUCUGACGCUGAGGCGCGAAAGCGUGGGGAGCAAACAGG